AUGAACUCUUCUCCAGGCUUAGUGACUGUGAUACUCUUAGUGCUUGGACAAACCCGUGAAGACUCAGUGACCCAGAUGGAUGGCCAAAUGACUCUUCCAGAAGGGGCUGCCUUGACCAUAAAUUGCACUUAUUCAGCCACUGGGUACCCCAUUACUUUCUGGUAUGUUCAAUAUCCUGGAGAAGGUCCACAGGUCCUUCUGAAAGCCAUGAAGGACAAUGAGAAGGGAACCAAUAAGGAGUUUGAAGCCACAUACCACAAAGAAUCAAAAUCCUUCCACUUGGAGAAAGCCUCAGUCCAAGAUUCAGAUUCGGCUGUGUACUACUGUGCUCUGAGUGACACAGUGAUGGGAACCGCAGGGGCAGCUGAGCACAAACUCUUUGAGUGGCAACAAGGGGCCUGGAGGCUGAGUGUCUCUCCAUUUGAUCCACUCUGUGGCACAGUCUAUGGUGGUUUGUCCCUCAGUCUCUGGUUGAUACAAAACUCAUACAAAUUUCUAGAGAAUAAGAACAAGAAGUGA